AUUGAACGCUGGCGGCAGGCCUAACACAUGCAAGUCGAGCGGAUGAAGGGAGCUUGCUCCUGGAUUCAGCGGCGGACGGGUGAGUAAUGCCUAGGAAUCUGCCUGGUAGUGGGGGAUAACGUCCGGAAACGGGCGCUAAUACCGCAUACGUCCUGAGGUAGAAAGGGGGGGAUCUUCGGACCUCACGCUAUCAGAUGAGCCUAGGUCGGAUUAGCUAGUUGGUGGGGUAAAGGCCUACCAAGGCGACGAUCCGUAACUGGUCUGAGAGGAUGAUCAGUCACACUGGAACUGAGACACGGUCCAGACUCCUACGGGAGGCAGCAGUGGGGAAUAUUGGACAAUGGGCGAAAGCCUGAUCCAGCCAUGCCGCGUGUGUGAAGAAGGUCUUCGGAUUGUAAAGCACUUUAAGUUGGGAGGAAGGGCAGUAAGUUAAUCCCUUGCUGUUUUGACGUUACCAACAGAAUAAGCACCGGCUAACUUCGUG
rnacentral:rRNA from 1 species